GACGUAGGGCGCGAGCGUUGUCCGGAUUUAUUGGGCGUAAAGAGCUCGUAGGCGGCUUGUCGCGUCGACUGUGAAAACCCGCGGCUCAACUGCGGGCCUGCAGCCGAUACGGGCAGGCUAGAGUUCGGUAGGGGAGACUGGAAUUCCUGGUGUAGCGGUGAAAUGCGCAGAUAUCAGGAAGAACACCCGUGGCGAAGGCGGCUCUCUGGGACGGUACUGACGCUGAGACGCGAAAGCGUGGGGAGCGAACAGG
rnacentral:rRNA from 1 species